AUUGAACGCUGGCGGCGGGCCUAACACAUGCAAGUCGAGCGGAUGAAGGGAGCUUGCUCCUGGAUUCAGCGGCGGACGGGUGAGUAAUGCCUAGGAAUCUGCCUGGUAGUGGGGGAUAACGUCCGGAAACGGGCGCUAAUACCGCAUACGUCCUGAGGGAGAAAGUGGGGGAUCUUCGGACCUCACGCUAUCAGAUGAGCCUAGGUCGGAUUAGCUAGUUGGUGGGGUAAAGGCCUACCAAGGCGACGAUCCGUAACUGGUCUGAGAGGAUGAUCAGUCACACUGGAACUGAGACACGGUCCAGACUCCUACGGGAGGCAGCAGUGGGGAAUAUUGGACAACGGGCGAAAGCCUGAUCCAGCCAUGCCGCGUGUGUGAAGAAGGUCUUCGGAUUGUAAAGCACUUUAAGUUGGGAGGAAGGGCAGUAAGUUAAUACCUUGCUGUUUUGACGUUACCAACAGAAUAAGCACCGGCUAACUUCGUG
rnacentral:rRNA from 1 species